rfam:Tupaia chinensis contig50936, whole genome shotgun sequence.
UAGUUUCCUGCUUCAACUGUGCUUGAAUGGAACUG